GACGAACGCUGGCGGCGUGCUUAACACAUGCAAGUCACGGGGGUCUCGCAAGAGAGAACCGGCGAACGGGUGCGUAACACGUGAACAACCUGCCGUUGUGCGGGGGAUAGCCGGGCUAACGCCCGGGUAAUACCGCAUACGCUGCUCGAGGGGAGUCCCUUGGGGAGGAAAGCCAUGGCGCAAGCGAUGGCGCACGACGAGGGGUUCGCGGCCUAUCAGCUAGUUGGGGGGUCG
rnacentral:rRNA from 1 species